rnacentral:lncRNA from 1 species
UACCGCCACCCUUGAAUUCCCUUCUCUCUCAAACACUCUCUGCAACACCCCUAAACCCUAGCCGUCGCCUCCCUAAUCCACCCCAAUCCUUGGCUUUCCGGGGUCAUCUGAGACCUUUACCAGCCUUCCAUAGCUUCUAUGUGUCUGGGUAUGUGGUCUCAUGACCAGACUUUAAAGGGAUUAGAUCUAGUACUUGCUCGAUGACCUUUCUCCGGUCAUCCCUGACCUUUCUCCGGCCAGCCAUGGCCAUUUGAGUCACACCUUUGACUCUUCUGUUUAGAUCUGUAACUCUGAAGGCCUUUCUCGUUGUUUUUGGGUUCUUCUGAAACCCUUAUCUCUUAGACUUUUCAAUUUCUUUCAGAUCUACCUUAGAACCAUGCUUUCCAUGAGUUAUUAAGCAUCUUCUCGAAGUUUUUUAACUUCGCUUUCAAAACGAUCCUUCAUCUUUUGCGAUUAGGGUUCCUCUUCUAAAUUAUUUAAAACCUCC